rnacentral:misc_RNA from 1 species
GAAAUGCGAUACGUAGUGUGAAUUGCAGAAUUCCGUGAACCAUCGAAUCUUUGAACGCACAUUGCGCCCCGCGGCUCCGGCCAAGGGCAUGUCUGCCUCAGCGUCGGCACACCCCCUCGUCCCCACAUCCUGGUUUUCGGAAGAGCGAGGUUGAUCGAUCGCACGAUCGAUCCCUUCUUUCCGACGACGAGGAUCCCUGGAGACGGAGCUGGUCUUCUAGCUUUCAACCACAAGCGGGUGGACUGAAGCGCAGAGGUUUGAGCAUCGACCCCGUUCGAGGGCGACAGCUUGGUAGGUCUGUCACAGACUUUUCAUCCACUGCUGUGUCCGAGGGAUUCAUGCUGGAGACCCACUCGAAGUGUCUUCUGUAGACGCUUCACUUUCACAUUUUCGACCUGAGCUCAGGCAAGGCUACCCGCUGAACUUAAGC